AGUGAACGCUGGCGGUAGGCCUACACAUGCAAGUCGAACGGCAGCACAGUAAGAGCUUGCUCUUACGGGUGGCGAGUGGCGGACGGGUGAGGAAUACAUCGGAAGCUACUUUUUCGUGGGGGAUAACGUAGGGAAACUUACGCUAAUACCGCAUACGACCUACGGGUGAAAGCAGGGGAUCUUCGGACCUUGCGCGAAGUAAUGAGCCGAGGUCGGAUUAGCUAGUUGGCGGGGUAACGGCCCACCAAGGCGACGACCGGUAGCUGGUCUGAGAGGAGGAUCAGCCACACUGGAACUGAGACACGGUCCAGACUCCUACGGGAGGCAGCAGUGGGGAAUAUUGGACAAUGGGCGCAAGCCUGAUCCAGCCAUACCGCGUGUGUGAAGAAGGCCUUCGGGUUGUAAAGCCCUUUUGUUGGGAAAGAAAAGCAGCAGGUUAAUACCUCGCUGUUCUGACGGUACCCGAAGAAUAAGCACCGGCUAACUUCGUG
rnacentral:rRNA from 1 species